CCGGAGGGGCCUGGGGUGCGCCAAGCCGCUCCAAGAAGCGCCGAUCCGAGCGGCGGCGCCGCCUGCCUGCCUGCCUCCGUGCGCUCCGCGCUGCUGCGCGCUUUCAGAGGGGCGGUGCAGCCAGGGCGCUCACCUGGCAACGGGAAAGCCCGGCCCUCCGCCCGCCCCAGGCCUGCCCACUCAUCUGCCCGCCCCCUGCCGACCCGAACGCACCACGGCCCGCCGCCGCCCCCUCGGCUGGUCCAGUGGUUCUGUAGGGCUCGGCUCCUCCGUGCCGCAGCCGCCUCUUGGCGGUGCGGGGAGGGCAGGGGAGAGGGCCGAGGCCUCCCCUCUGACACCCCCGCAGCCUCUCAGCACUGGGCGAGUACCUACAAGACACCUGCACCUCAGCAUGAAAGUCACUUCACAGUAACACUGGCGUCUGACCUCAAGGACCACACGAGAAGGCAGAAUCCUCACUGUGCUGGCACUCAGCUCUUACCUUCUGGAAAAAAAGUAAAAGCAAUUUGGUCUGCAGUAUUGGAGGAAAAUAUGCAGCUGGCACUGAUGUUUACAUAGACAAGACCUGACUGAUGACAGAAGUGGGGGAAUCAGACAGAACAUGAAGGUGGAUCCACAAUAUAAAAAAAGAUUUUAAGUUACUUGAAAGCAUCCAGAGGAGGGCAACAAAGCUGGUAGAAGUGCUGCAGGGCAUGUCGUAUGAGGAGAGGCUGAGGACACUUGGAUUGUCUAGUCUGGAGAAGGAGGGUAAGAGGCAACUUCACCGCUCUCUGCAACUUCCUGACCUGGGGAAGGGGAGAGGGAGGUACCGGUCUCUGCUCCCUGGUAACCAAUGACAGGACACACAGGAAAGGAACAAAGCUGCAGCAGGGGAGGUUCCAACUGGACAUUAGGAAAAAUUUAUUUACUUUGAAAGUGGUCAAACACUGGAACAGGCUUCCUAGAGGUGACUGAAGCCCCAUGACUGCCAGUGUUAAAGAGACAUUUGGAUAAUGCCCUCAGUAACAAGCUUUAAAUUUUGAUUAGCUUUUAAGUAGUCGGGCAGUUCAUAGAAUCGUAGAAUCAUAGAACGUCUUGAGUUGGAAGAGACCUUAAAGAUCAUCUAGUUCCAAACCCCCUGUCAUAGGCAGGGAUGCCACCCACUAGAUCAGGUUGCCCAGGGGCUCAUCCAGCCUGUUCUUGAACACUUCUAGGGAUGGGGCAUCCACAACUUCUCUGGGCACUGUUCCAGUGCCUCACCACCCUCUGAGUGAAGAAUUUCCUCCUAACUUCUAAUCUAAAUAUCACCGCUUUUAGUUUAAAACCAUUCCUCCCUGUCUUAUCAUUAUCUGACUGAGCAGAAAGUUGCUCUCCAUCUUUUUAUAAGCCUCCUUUAAGUACUAAAGCUGAGUGUCCCA
rnacentral:lncRNA from 1 species